rnacentral:rRNA from 1 species
AGGGAUUGCCUUAGUAACGGCGAGUGAAGCGGCAAUAGCUCAAAUUUGAAAGCUGGCCCCUUCGGGGUCCGCGUUGUAAUUUGUAGAGGAUGAUUCGGCGAGGGCUCCCGUCUAAGUCCCUUGGAACAGGGCGUCAUAGAGGGUGAGAAUCCCGUAUGUGAUGGGCUGCCUUAGCCAUGUGAAUCUCCUUCGACGAGUCGAGUUGUUUGGGAAUGCAGCUCUAAAUGGGAGGUAAAUUUCUUCUAAAGCUAAAUACCGGCCAGAGACCGAUAGCGCACAAGUAGAGUGAUCGAAAGAUGAAAAGCACUUUGGAAAGAGAGUUAAAAAGUACGUGAAAUUGUUGAAAGGGAAGCGCUUGCAGCCAGACUUGUCCGCAGUUGCUCAGCUUGUCUCCUGACAGGCGUACUCUUCUGCGGCCAGGCCAGCAUCAGUUCGGGCGGUCGGAUAAAGACCUGGGGAAUGUAGCUCCUCUCGGGGAGUGUUAUAGCCCUGGGUGCAAUGCGGCCAGCCUGGACUGAGGAUCUCGCUUCGGCUAGGAUGCUGGCGUAAUGGCUGUAAGCGGCCCGUCUUGAAACACGGACCAAGGAGUCUAACAUCUAUGCGAGUGUUUGGGUGUCAAACCCAUGCGCGUAAUGAAAGUGAACGGAGGUGGGAACCCUCACGGGUGCACCAUCGACCGAUCCUGAUGUCUUCGGAUGGAUUUGAGUAAGAGCAUAGCUGUUGGGACCCGAAAGAUGGUGAACUAUGCCUGAAUAGGGUGAAGCCAGAGGAAACU